CGCCCCGCCUACGCACGCCAUCUUCCGCCAGAGAAUCCCGGCUCCUGCUGCAAUGGAGAGGCUGCUCUGGAAGCUCUGGCAUUGGGGUCUUCAUCCCUGCAGUCUUUUCCAGCUAUUGUGUAGAGCGUUUUUGGCAAGAGAAUCUAGGACCAAGCCACACCGGUUCUCUGCUUAACCCACUCCAUUCGACUGUUCUCCCAGCUAUGCUUCCAGAGUGCUCUGUGCAUUUCCACGAUCAACAAACGAUGAAUAAAUCUCUUACGGAGUUUUGCACUUGUUGCCUAGGUGGGAGUGCAAUGGCAUGAUCAUGGCUCACCGCAACUUCUACCUCCCGGGUUCAAGCGAUUCUCCUGCCUCAGCCUCCUGAGUAGCUGGGAUUACAGGUGUGUGGAUCUCGUUCAUUUUCACGUAGACAACGAGAGCGAAACCACAGAGAAAAGAAACAUCCCGUGCAUCACGGCCUGACGAUGGAUUCCUGUUUCCUGCAAAAUGGGGAGUCUCCAAUAUAGCCUGUUUGAAAACCGGAAAGGAGAGCACUGACACAAUGGUGGUCUUCCACGCAUUCCUGGAAGUUUCCGGGACCCCACAGAGCACGGGAAACAAACAGUCAACAUGGUCACGCUUUCAGAGGGCAGAAACUUGAGCAACAGGAACCUUUGCAGAGGGCAAAGAAACGUGGAAUCCAGAAUCACGCUUCAGUUGGCCUAAGUGUGACUCCUGUGUGGAUGGGACUAUCCGCCUCGCGCUCUGUUGCAGGGCUCAACGUGGGGAUAUGUCAUCUGUGAACCAUGUGGAUGAAAAACAGACAACCAGGGCAGCACCUCGGUUUGCACGCGGUCUCGGGUCUACAUUUAGUUGCAAGGCGCUUCAUGGUGCUGGCAAGGAGGCUGGCGGGACAACGGUUGGCAAGUGAUGGAGAGCGAAGAGACAGAGGAGUCGAGCCGCAGAAAGGACUGGCCUGGCUUCUGCCCCGGCCCAGUGUUUCUCGGACUGAGGUCUCCGCCAACCCGAUUGAAGAACGCGGGGGAAAAAGGAAUGAGAGCUCCGCCUGGGCUAGUUAGAAAACCUAGGCUGCUGCCUGGAAACCCGCGCAUGCGCAGUAGACAGCCCGCUUCCGGGUACCUGGACCGGCCCUGGGAUCCCCAGGAUGCUCAGGAAUUCUUUCUUGUCAUUCUUGACAGCCCUCCUCUGUGUGGAGUCUCUCGCUGGACCUGGAACUCAGGGAUCCUAGGCAGGUCAGCUGGAAGGGAAGACACGUCUCUCCAUACCAAGCCUGAGGUUCACCGCGAAAGAGAGGCCGCCGCUCUGCCCCCACCCCGCCCCAACCCCGCCCAAACCUGCUCCUCCAGCAGAGCCCAGUGUUCAUCCUGGCUGAGGAGUGGUUCCAGCAAAGCGGGCUCUUCCACGUCCUUCAGCUCCCCCAGUGGCGCCGGAUCUAGGAAAUGUUGUGCCUUUUGCUGAAACUCUGGGGUUGACAGGAGCUCAUCUAACAGGCUGGAGGUGAGUGCAGACGAGCUCCCCGGCUCCUGGAGCGGUUGGGAGGCGCCUGGAUGGCUGGCAUCUGUGCUUGCCGCGGAGGCCUCGGGUCGCGAUCUCCGGAGGUGGAGGUGCCCCGUCUUCGGGUUCCCACGUCACCCUGGCGACCUGGGGCUCCAGCCCCACCACGGAUUCUGGUGGGACGUGGGUGGCACAAGCACACCUUGCCCCUGUGACUCAGCUUGAGGGGGCCCAAAAUGAGCACGCGCCCAGGAGGCCCUCGCGCAGCGGUUUCUGGUCUUCCUGUCAUUUGUUGGGGUGCGGAGGCCACCAGGGAGUCUGAGGAUGGGACAGCCCCAGUUCCGGAGGAACCAGGGCAGGGAACACAAAGCCCCACAUGCUCGGGCAGGUUGGGAGAGUCCUUCUGCCUGCGCAGCCUGGCUGGGCUGGAGCAGGGGGAUGGCCCUUGCUGCCUGGCUCACGAAAGCCCCCUGUGGGAGAGCCCCAGGCGCGCAGGGCAUGUGCGGUGUCGGAAGCGCCGUUCCCCAUGCCCUGUUGUGGGUGAACUCGAUAGAGGAGGGAGGAGGGUGACACCCACCGGUGGUGCCAAUUAGUAACCACAGUGGCCUCAAAGAACUCAAAUGAAAGGAAGACUUUCACGUCUUUCACUUGAAGUCCAGAGCUAGAAAUGAUUAAGCUUAAUGAAGAUGUAGAAUUUUCAUAGCUAGAGAGAAGUCAAUGCUUGGCUUCAAAACUUCAAAGGAUGGGCUGACUCUCUUUGAGGACCACUGCAGCUGGUGACUUUUAAGUUACAGCCCAGUGCUCAUUGACCACUCUGAAAAUCUCAGGGCCCUUAAGAAUUAUGCAAAAUCUAUUCUUUCUGUGCUCUAGAAAUGGAACAUCACUGUCUGGGUGACAGCACAUCUGUUAAUGGCAUGGUUUACUGAAUAUUUUAAUCCCAAUAUUGAGACCUACUGCUCAGAAAAAAAAGUGAUUCCUUUAAAAAGAUUGUUGCUUGGCCAGGCAUAGUGGCUCACACCUGUAAUCCCUGCACUUUGGGAGGCCGAGGAUCACCUGAGGUCAGGAGUUCAAGACCAGCCUGGCCAAAAUGAUGAAACCCCAUCUCUAAUAAAAAUACAAAAAAAUUAGCCGGGCAUGGUGGUAAUACCUGUAAUUUCAGCUACUCAGGAGGCUGAGGCAGAAGAAUGGCUUGAACUCUGGAGGCGGAGGUGGCAGUGAGCCGAGACCACACCACUGCACUCCAGCCUGGGGAACAAGAGCGAAACUACGUCAAAAAAAUAAUAAUAAUAAAAUAAAAUAAAAGGAAAGAAAAGGAAAAAGGAAAAAAAAGAUUGCUGCUUAUUGACAAUUCACCUAGCUACCCAGAAGCUUAGAUGGAGAGGUACUUGGAAAUUAAUGUUAUUUUCAUGGCUGCUAAUACAAUAUUUACCUUCAGCCUGUGGAUCAAGGA